UUUCAAUUGGGUCCUCCAAUUUUGGAAGUGAUCAAUUGGAUCCCUAAUUUGAUAAAUUUGAUUUAAUAAUAACUUUUUCGUUGAAUGCAAUUAACGGCGUUGACUUUUUUAACAUGUGGCAAGCUGAGGCAGCAAGUGGCACAGUUUGGAUUUUUAUCAUUUUAAAUUCAUUUUCUCGCUUCUCUGACCGCAUUUUCCCUCUUCUCGACGUAGAGAGGCUUAUCCAUUUUUGAAAUAUUUCACAGAUUCUUGUCCUAUCAAAGCUCCAGUCAAGGCCCCCAACAAAGUUCCCAAUGCAGAUAAAACAAUCCAUCAAAACUUGUUGUACCUUAAGCAUAGCACAUGGUGCCAAUAGGAUAAGAAAAACAUUAACCACACAACACAAAUUUGUAUGUCUUUGAAGAUUAAAAUAACAAAACAAAACAACACAAGCAAAACAGUCCAACCAAGAAAAUGGCGAACCUCCACCCCAUGUUUCAAGUUUCAAUUUUUAUAAAAAAAAAAAUACGCAUUUAUGUCUCAAUCGAAAGCCCCCGACAUCACACAACAGAAUACAAUGACAACAAUCCACCCAAAAAGAUUAAAAACACGAUAAGAAAAGGCAAAACCCAUGACGAUAGGAGGAAAAUAGAAGCAGAUCAAGAGUUCAGAUUAGAUUAUAUAAUGUAACGAAAGGAGAAUGGAAAUAAACAGAAGAGAAAGAAGAAGCGAACCUAAUGCAAAGCAGAAGGUCAAGAUCACAGAGAAGAUGUUCCCAAUGACAGCGGAGACGGCGAGGAGAAACAUAAACGAGUACAAGUUGCGGGAGACUCUAACGUAGAGAGGCUUAACCAUUUUGAAAUAUUUUUGCACGACUUCUUUGGUGAAACGCUUCUCUUCGGAUGGUGGUGGUUGUUCGUUGGAAGUGUAUUUUUGGGUUUUGUUGUUUCCUUUGGAGGUGAAGACAGAGACGAUGGGGCUUCUUCCACUUUGAAUUUGAAGGUGAAGUGCUUCCCCAAAUGCCAGCAUAACCCAG
rnacentral:lncRNA from 1 species